AAGAAGCGAGGAUAACACUAUAAGACGAGAAGACCCCAUGGAGCUUUAAACCCAAUUAUAUCCCUAACCCCUAUACCCAUUUAACCUCUUAGGCCUAUAUACUUGGUUUUAGGUUGGGGCGACCACGGAGUAAAACCAAACCUCCAUGAUGUACGGAACAACCUCCUUAUCUAAGAGCCACAGCUCUAAGAAUUAGCACACUAUCAUAAAAUGACCCAUUAUUGAUCAACGAACCAAGUUACCCUGGGGAUAACAGCGCAAUCCAUUUUAAGAGCCCCUAUCGACAAAUGGGUUUACGACCUCGAUGUUGGAUCAGGAUAUCCCAGUGGUGCAGCAACUACUAAAGGUUCGUUUGUUCAACGAUCAAAAUCCU
rnacentral:rRNA from 1 species